GGGCUAUUAGCUCAGUUGGAUAGAGCGCCAGUCUCCGGAACUGGAGGUCGCAGGUUCGAAUCCUGCAUAGCUCACCA
rnacentral:tRNA from 1 species